rnacentral:rRNA from 1 species
UGAGUUAGUGGCGGACGGGUGAGUAACGCGUGGAAAACCUGCCGUAUACUGGGGGAUAACACUUAGAAAUAGGUGCUAAUACCGCAUAAGCGCACAGCUUCGCACGAAGCGGUGUGAAAAACUCUGGUGGUAUACGAUGGUUCCGCGUCUGAUUAGCUAGUUGGUGGGGUAAUGGCCUACCAAGGCAACGAUCAGUAGCCGGCCCGAGAGGGUGAACGGCCACAUUGGGACUGAGACACGGCCCAAACUCCUACGGAAGGCAGCAG